GGAUGCAGUAACUCUGACUGUAAUAAAGUAGCAUAAUUAGUUGUCAUUUAAUUGAUGGAGAGAAUGAAUGGUUACACGAAUUUUUCACUGUCUUAAAAAAAAUUUUUUAAAAUUGAAAUAAUAGUUAAGAUGCUAUUUAAAAUUGUAAGACGAAGAGACCCUAUAGAGCUUUACUAUAAACUUUUUUCUUAAAAAUAAUAAAAAAUUAUUAAAACUAGAAAGUUUGGUAGUUUAGUUGGGGCGACUGUUUUUUAAAAAUAACAAAAAUAAGCAAUAUAAUAAAUUUAUUUAUUGUAUAAUUAAACAAUUUAACAAUUACUAUAGUAGGCUAUAAUGACCCGUUAUUAUAAUAAAUAAUAAAUAACGAUUAAUUGAUAAAAGCUACCUUAGGGAUAACAGGA
rnacentral:rRNA from 1 species